GGCCAUACCACCCUAAACGCGCCCGAUCUUGUCUGAUCUCGGAAGCUAAGCAUCAUCGGGCCUGGUUAGUACUUGGAUGGAAAUAGUAAUCUGCCUGUU
rnacentral:rRNA from 1 species